rnacentral:rRNA from 1 species
UACGUAGGGGGCGAGCGUUGUCCGGAUUUAUUGGGCGUAAAGCGCGCGCAGGCGGUGCGUUAAGUCUGGUGUGAAAGCUCCCGGCUCACCUGGGAGAGGGCACUGGAGACUGGCGGACUGGAGGGCGGCAGAGGCCGGUGGAAUUCCCGGUGUAGUGGUGAAAUGCGUAGAGAUCGGGAGGAACACCAGUGGCGAAGGCGGCCGGCUGGGCCGUGCCUGACGCUGAGGCGCGAAAGCGUGGGGAGCGAACAGG